rnacentral:lncRNA from 1 species
GGUCCUGUAAGGUACCGGACUUCUAAAGGUAUGAAGUUACGGUGUACGUUUAAAUGGUUCCGGUGAGGUUGCGGUGUAAUGUAAUAUACCGGAUUUAAAUAUAAAAAUAGAAAUAAAUAAAAAUAGUAUGAGAUACUAUUUUUAUUGGAUUUAGAGAAGUGAAAUAUGAGUUAGAAACGACCUGUGCUGAAAUCGGAAUUAAAACAGAAGAUUUAGAAUUUUCUGUUGGAAAUGGGACAGAUAAAUUAGCAGAAAAUGCACAGUCUCAGAAAAUUAUGAAAAUUGGCAGAGAUGUCAGAAAUAUUUUUAUGAGGCUAUAUUUAAAGUUUCAUAUUUUUCUGACACCCAUAGAGUGGGAAAUGAAAUCCGAAGGCUAUCUGAUAAAGAUUGCAGUUCGGUACAGUUUUCGGUGACCAAACGGGGUCGAAACUGAAAACUUUAGAUAUAUUCUUGUUCAGUACGUUAAACCGAACAUGACUGUCAAAUUUGAGCUCAAACGGACAUUCAGAAGGGCUCCAACGAAACUUAUCAGAUUUAGGGACUAAAUUGGAAGGUUGAAUAGUUGAGGGGCUAACUUGCAAAAUGGGAUUAAAUCCCUUUUCUCCUCCUUCCUCCUCAGCCGAAUGCAACACACACACACACGCAUCACGCACACACACGCAUACAUGGAAUGGGAGAGACAAAACCUCCCUUUUCUCUCUCUAAUUCUCUCCCAAAAUUGAUGAAAUUGGUGGAGAAGCAAGCUUGGAAAUGGAUCUUCAUCUCCUUCAUGUUCUUCCUCUCCAUUGGAGCUUGCUUGAGAGGUAAGCUUCAAACCCCUUUAAUGGUAGAUCCUUAAUGGUUGGUCUAAAUACCUUACAAAUGGAUUUAGAGGAAUCCUAGCACGCUAACUAGAUGAAUGAUGCUUGAUUCACGAAGAAAUUUGGUGGAUUUUUAUCUAGUUGUAAACCUAGGGUUCAAAAUGCUAAUUUUUAAAAUAUGAGGGUUUGAUCUAAUUUGACCCUCCGUAAACCUAAUUGCUAGGUAACNNNNNNNNNNNNNNNNNNNNNNNNNUUUUGGGGUGUUACAGGUUCGCACGUGAGCGGCGCGGCGGCGCGAGGAAAGGGCGUAGCUCAGUAGAUAGCGCCCUACCACAGAGACCAGAGUUAGCGGUACCCCGAGUCGACAUAUCCUAGGGGUAUAGAGAUGAAAGAUCAAUGUAUCAAAUUGUAAUGAAUAAUUGAUGUAGCAAUUCAUAUUCAGAUGUACUAUGCUUGUGAAUAAUGAUGUAGUAGCUUAGAUUGCAUUUGGUUUGAAGUAAAUUGUAAUUAAGAGGUAAGGUAUGAAUGAAUGAAUGUAAUAACUUAGGAUGUGUUUAUGUUGUUUGAUACCUUCCUUAUGCAAUCGUUGUAUGUUGAAUACUGUUCCUGUUUGGAACCUGUUGUAAUUGUAUUGAUUGCGAUGCCUUGAACGUACAGGGGAGACUCUGUCCGCAGUGCAGGGAAAACUCUGUCCGUUCGGCGCUGUCGGCGCCGCGACCCCGACCAAAUAGGCGGGUGGUCGCGGGCUGUGAUAGGUCCCUGGAAGGAGAGACCGGUCCCCCAAUGAGCAGUGUUGCGGCAGCCCUGAGGCAACCGGUCCCUGGCGGGUGACACCGGUCCCGAGCGCGUUUUCGCAAUGAGAGACCGGUCCUGCGUAGGGAGAGACCGGUUCCCGAACGCUGGUUUUUCGGGUUCGCAGCGAGAGACCGGUCCCUACUGGGGAGAGACCGGUCCCUCUGGGCGAAAACUGCCCAGACCGAGCUGUUGUGAUAUUGGAUUUUUGAGGGGCCUCUUGGGAUUUUGUUACAAUAGAGNGUGAUUGUCCUAGUUGAGGGGAUUUAAGGCCGAGGUGCAAGUGAGACGUCCUUCGCCUCGUGCCUGGCUCUGUGCGGUACUCCGCAGAUGAUUGACUCAAGACCGAGUCGAGCGGCUAGCUUUGUAAAGGUAGAUGACACCUUAUGAUUAAAAUUGUAAAUGACAGAAAACCUUAAAUGUCAAUUGGAUGAAAGUAGUAAUCGAUUGAAUUACUAGUUGGUUGUAUAGUUGCAUUAUUGCAUGAUCUUCAUAUUGCAUAUCGCGAGGCAAUGCAUGGUAUUGUUAGUUGCAUGAUCUUAUUAUCAUAUCUAUCUGUUUAUUGAACUAACCUGCAGCUUGCCUCCUUCGGACAUGUCGGUCGAGCUUUUUCCUUGGGUGGCCGUACCCACUGGGAACUAUGGAGUUAGUUCUCACCCCACGUUGCUUUUGGGGUAUUACAGGUUCACACAUGAGCGGCGCGGCGGCGCGAGGCGAGGGCGUAGCUCCGUAGAUAGCGCCCUACCACCGUGACCAGAGAUAGCGGUACCCAAGUCAGCCAAGCUAGGGGUUGUAGAAAAGAAAAUCAAAAGGAUCAAACUUGUAAUAAUCUUGUGAUGCUUGAUUGUAUUCGGAAGUUUAAAUGUAUUUGAAAGGAAAAGGAAAUGUAAAUAAUAUCAAGUGAAUGAAUGAAUGAAUGUAAUAACUUAGGAUGUGUUUAUGUUGUUUGAUACCUUCCUUAUGCAAUCGUUGCAUGUUGAAUACUGUUCCUGUUUGGAACCUGUUGUAAUUGUAUUGAUUGCGAUGCCUUGAACGUACAGGGGAGACUCUGUCCGCGGUACAGGGGAAUCCCCGGUCCGUUCGGCGCUGUCGGCGCCGCGACCUCGACCAAAUAGGCGGGGCUCGCGGGCUGUGACAGGAAGUGGUAUCAGAGCAUAAUGUAGAAAAUGGGAAAAUGGUUUAGGCAGACCUAGGAGACCCUAGGAUAGUAAACCAUAGGAGAAUAAGGCUCGUGAGAGACGAGGACUUAUGGGUUAUGGCGAAAGAUUAGUCGAUUGGGUCAGUGUUGAAGCCUCUAUAACGGAUAUUAGAGGUAGACUCGAGGUGUGGUUUAUUCUCAACCGACGGUGUUCAUGUUGGGUCGACACAACAUGAAACCGAGUGUUGAGAAUAGAUACCCUUGUGUGACUUUCGCCCGAUUUGAGUCGGUGUCAGUUGUUUCGCGUUUGACCUUGAGGGUCGAGAAUCGAUCGAGCUGUCGCGUCUUGGGAAGCGAUGGCACCGCGUAGGCGAUCUUUAUGUAGAUCGGCACGAGAUGGGACGAGUGUCAUUCCUACGCAAUCCGAAACGAACGGAGACUUGGGACUUCGUGAGCGAUUGUCCACUCUCGUGUGAGUGGCGGGGUGAUGAGCCGAAUCAAUGCGGCGUCAGCAGGAAGCUGCCGUAUGCCAGGAGGAGCGAAUGAGAAGACUCCAGGAAACGAUAAAUCAGCUGGGGGUUAUACCAGCUGCCGUUCGUCGAGUACGACCGGGAGUUGCGAUGGAAGUAUUUCCGUCGGGUUCGAGCAAUCCGACUUCUAGCACUUCAGAAGCGAAGGCGGGGAAGGACCGAGCUUCGGCGGCCCUCAUGACCUUUAAACGAUUUGAUCCGUCUGCCUUUGGUGGAGAGAAUACGGAUCCGUUUGUCGUGGAGUUGUGGAUCGACUUCAUGGAGACUCCCUUUGGGGAUCUGUGCACUGUAGAGUGAGAGGAUACACCUAGCUGUGCGUUGCUUGCAAACAAUCGGCGAAGGUGUGGUGGAAAGGCAUUCGACAGAAUCGAUUGCCUAGUUUUCCUCCUAUGAUUCGGGAUGAGUUUCGGGGAUCAAUAUUCCCUGUUUACUUCCCCGAUGCUGAGAAAGAAAAGCAUCAGGAAAGGUUCCCGAAGCUACGGCAGGUAGACCGUGUCGUGAGGGAAUACGAGCAGGAAUUCCCUCGUAUCGUGAGUUGUGUCCCGAACGUAGUGCGGGAUGACGAGGAAUUGGCCGAUGUGCCUUUACGGAGACCUUUGCCGGACGUGGUCGAGGUUGUGCGUAUAAGGAAGUGAAUUCUCGAAAUACGAGGAUUGGACUUCGUGUAGAAUCGAACAAGGGUCGUGUUGGUGUGCUUCGGAAAAGCCGAAGAUGUUUAAAUCACCAAAAGUGCGUUGGAAUUGGAGUCCACGAGAGCAAAUAGUGCAAAGUCUGCACUUGGCGGAGAUUGCUCUCGGGAACCGGUCCCUGGCAGGGAGAGACCGGUCCCCGUAGCUUGAAAUUGCUCAGUUUUGGGCAGUGCACAUUCUUGAGUUGUGGUUGCAAUCCCAACCUCGGAAGUGUCAUCUACUUAACUUUUCGGGAUGUGGGAUUGUAGAAGUUCUCACCAGGCACAGCGGUGUGCGCUGUGUGAUGAAAGGUGAUUCGUUGUGGAUGGCCAAACCUUAGCAUUGGCGAAAGCUUUUUCCUCUCCGACACAGCCUGCAGGUGUGUCACCUACAGCAUGGUCUGGAGAGUGAGUGGCGAGAAGGUGACCACCGAAGGGUUCGCAGCGGGCGCCAAGAGGCCGUGGAUAUGCGAACCGGGUUGUGAAACCUGCUGCUAUCGACGAUACCAUGGCAGGUAUGAGUUAAUUGAAGCAAGCAUAGGCUUCUGUAGGAUGUGAAGUUGGUGCAUGCAUGCAUAUGCCAUGUGGUCAUUUACUACCAUCGAUAUGUCAAUGUAGUAGGGACCAAAGGGACGGGUAAGCGUAGAUACCCGGGCAUGCUUGCAUUGUGGGAGCGUAUUAUCUGUUUGAGCGGGUAGAGAGCUGGAUAGCACUAGCAGAUGCUGGUGAUGAUUGUGGGACGAGAAGUGAGACUCGUGAUAAAGACAAAACGGUGAAGCGACUCUCAAGACAACGGGUAGUUGAUUGUGAGAAUUGCGCCGUGACCUUGAGGAUACCCAGGUAGUCCGAGUAUUCGGAUGUAGAUCCGGUAGGUUGAACAGUGGAAAGUAGAAUCACUGUCGAGAGAAUAGCCGGUUAGUUGCCAAGUACGGGCACAUAGGCCUAGUAGUACCUCAGUUUGAGGUUGGAACUUGCGCUUGUUUGGUCGGUGUGUAUAGGCAAGAUUGCCUAUUACUAGACGUAGUGUGGAACGUUAUAGAGACGUACGACGUAAAGAGCGCUCGAGUAUAGGUACUCGUGGUGUGCGGUGUUGACUCAGCCGGUGAGUGUGCAGGCAGUAGCACUUCAGCAUUGCUAGUGUGAAGCGGGCCAUGGAACACUCGUAAGGCUGGUGGCUCGCACUAGGUGUUUAGGAGCCGAUAGUGGUGCAUGUGACUCGAUAGAGUAUGUCGUGUAGGACGACGACAGCGGCAUUGCUCGAGGACGAUUCGUGCCUGGACCAUUGUGGACUGUGGAGCCUGGGCCCUUUGGGCAGGCGCAGUCAGCUGUGAGUGACAGCGGCCCGAUACCUACGGGUGGGGCAGAGUUUUGGUCAGGACGGUAGUCCGAGCUUGGACUCGGGAGCGUGGAAUGCCACGCGUGGAUCAUGAGAUCGAGGAUACACCGAGUGUGUAGUGACCCAAUCCAAGGAUUUGUCGUGGUUUGGGGUCUUAGUUGCUCCUGAUUGGAGUGUGUGCGAAUUCUCCAAUGAGAAUUUCGCCCUGUAACGAUGAUUGGGUCUACGCUAGUGAGCGAGAGAUGCUACGCGUAGUUGAGACCGGUUUAGGCGAUAGGCCUACUAGGAUUGGUGACCCGUGGUUCACCUGUGGAUUUGAGGAAAUGGAUUGAGCGAGUAGUCUUAUCAACGAGUUUAGGCUUGAAGUUACGAACGAGUUGAUAAUGACAAACUAAUAUGUUGAGUGUGUUCCCUGGCGAGAUGUGAAAUGCAAAGAGUUCUUUGCAGACUGGUUGAUGAGAGGUGGGAAAAUGUGUAGAGUUGAUGAAUGUCAACUUACACUACCACCGAGACUCACGAAGUCGUAAUGCACUUUGGACUUACACAUGGCAAAUGUGAGUGAAAUUGGUCUCACAUCCUUCGUAGUGGGCCUUUGGACAGUUCUGUCGAGUAAAAGGCCACUUCGAGAUGCGAAAGUGCAUUGGAGUCCCCGAUUGCCCGGUGAAUUGAGUUGAAGUGAGUUAGUUUCGGGGACGAAACUCUUUUAAGGAGGGGAGAAUGUAAGGUACCGGACUUCUAAAACUAUGAAGUUACGGUGUACAUUUAAAUAGUUCCGGUGAGUUGCGGUGGAAUGUAACAUACCGAAUUUUAAAUAUAAAAAUAAAAAUAAAUAAAAAUAGUAUGAGAUACUAUUUUUAUUGGAUUUAGAGAAGUGAAACAUAAGUCAGAAAUGACUUGUGCUGAAAUCGGAAUGAAAACAGAAGAUCUAGAAUUUUCUGUUGAAAACGGGACAGAUAAAUAAGCAGAAAAUGCACAGUCUCAGAAAAUUAUGAAAAUUGGCAGAGAUGUCAGAAAUAUUUUUAUGAGGCUAUAUUUAAAGUUUCAUAUUUUUCUGACACCCGUAGAGUGGGAAAUAAAAUCCGAAGGCUAUCUGAUAAAGAUUGCAGUUUGGUACAGUUUUCGGUGACCAAACGGGGUCGAAACUGAAAACUUAAGAUAUAUUCUUGUUCAGUACGUUAAACCGAACAUGACUGUCAAAUUUGAGCUCAAACGGACAUUCAGAAGGGCUCCAACGCAACUUAUCAGAUUUAGGGACUAAAUUGGAAGGUUGAAUAGUUGAGGGGCUAACUUGCAAAAUGGGAUUAAAUCCCUUUUCUCCUCCUUCCUCCUCAGCCGAAUGCAACACACACACACACGCAUCACACACCCACACGCAUACAUGGAAAGGGAGAGAGAAAACUUCCCUUUCUCUCUCUAGAUUUCUCCCAAAAAUGGAUGGAUUGGUGGAGAUGGAAGCUUGGAGAUGAAUCGCCUUCAUCUUCUUCAUCUUCUUCAUCUUCUCCAUGAUUUGUAGCUAAUUUGAGAGGUAAGCUUCGAUGCCCUUUAAUGGUAGAAUUGUAGAGCUUCAAUUAUAUGCUCUAGAAAUGGGUUUUAUGGAAUCCUAGCAUGCUAAAUAGAGGAUAAAUGCUAGAAUCUAGGAUCAAUUUGAUGAGUUCUUGCAUAGGAUGAAACCUAGGGUUCAAAAUGCAAAUUUUGCUACUAGUAGGGUUUGAUCUCAUUUGACCCUUCGUAAACCUAAUUGAUAGGUAAACGAACGCGUUGGCGAAGACAGUUCGGCGAUUCGUCGAGCCGUUGCGAAGUUAUUAAAGAAACGGACGUUUAGGCUUCGUUUCCGCCUGGAGUGCCGAGGCGACGUCGUAAAAUCCUGGAAACGGAUUUGAGGCACCGUAACAACAAAGCGAAGACCCUUUUUACCCGAGGCUACGAAGCGAUGCGCGGUUGGUGCGCAAUUGCAAGUUCCGGCGGAACCGAGCACCGGAUGUCGCGGGAGGCCGAUUGCAAGUGUCGACAAGCAAUCGGAAUGCACUAACAGGUGGGUUGUGCUUACCGAAGCGACUAGGUCGCCCUCAUGUCGAAGAAAAAUAUGAUUUUCUAUUUGAUGCAUAUAAUGGGUUAAAUGCUAUAUGAUGCAUAUAAUGGGUUAAAUGCUAUAUGAUGCAUAUGAUGUGAAAAUUGGGUAAAUGCAUAUAAUGUGAGAAAUGUAUAUUACAUGAUAAUUGCAUAUGAAUAUAAUGCAUGCUAGUGGACAAUGAUGUUAAAUGUUAAAUGCAUGCUAGUGGACAAUGAUGUUAAAUGUUGAAUAUAAUGCAUGCUAGUGGCAAGUAAUAUGUUGAAUGUUAAAUGAAAGCAUGAACUAAAUGAUGUUGUAUGAAUGCAUAGGAUAUAUUAUGCAAGUUGGAACAUAUGCAUGUUAAUGUAUUCAUGGACUAUGUUGAGUAAUAUAUGCUAAUUAACAUAUGCAUGUUGACUUGGGUCUAAAACUCUUGGAUGAUUAGAAAACUCGUCAUUUGGAAAUACAAAUGUAGUAAUAAUAUAAUGGUACGGUUUGGAGUCCUACAAUGAGAUGAUAAAUGUGGAUAUGACCUAGGUAAAUGACAACCUAGAGACUGUGUACAAGUAGGGCAUCGAGAACACUUGAAUUAUGACAAGUGGCAUGUAGUUAGUGUGAACCUAUGACGAGUGGCAUGUAGUUAGUGUGAACCUAUGAUGAGUGGCAUUUAUGAAUCUUAGUGUAGCUGAAACACUAGAUUGAUGAGUAUAGAAACCUAUUGGUUCUAUGUUUAUGCUAUCCUUAGUUGAUAGGAUGUUCCCAGUUCAUGAGAUUGGAUCGAGCUCACUUAGCCUGUCUGCAUCUGUGGAGGUAGCUCCUCACAGGUAGUGCACUCCGGAGUUUGGCACGCGAGGGGGCCAGUGUAGUGCCCUUGGACCAGUGUAGUGUCCGCAGGCGGUCUCGGGGUAGGUGAAUAGCUAGCCUCCUCCCCUAUGAGACUUACAUGUGUGAGAUUGUGAGCGAGCGUUGCGUUCGCUGAGAGAUUGGGUAACAAGUUUUGAGCUAUAGUGANUAACGGCUCGUCGGAUUGCCGAACCGUCUUCGCCAACGCGUUUCGUUACCUAGCAAUUAGGUUUACGGAGGGUCAAAUUAGAUCAAACCCUCAUAUUUUAAAAAUUAGCAUUUUGAACCCUAGGUUUACAACUAGAUAAAAAUCCACCAAAUUUCUUCGUGAAUCAAGCAUCAUUCAUCUAGUUAGCGUACUAGGAUUCCUCUAAAUCCAUUUGUAAGGUAUUUAGACCAACCAUUAAGGAUCUACCA